rnacentral:rRNA from 1 species
GUCUUUAUGGGUAAAAAAUAAAGUCUGGCCUGCCCACUGAGUUUUUAAAGGGCCGCGGUAUUCAUGACCGUGCGAAGGUAGCAUAAUCAAUAGUCUUUUAAUUGAAGGCUGGAAUAAAAGGUCGGACAGGAAGAAAGCUGUCUUAAAUGAUAUGAUUGAAUUUAACUUUUGUGUGAAAAGGCAUUAAUGAUUUAAAGGGACGAUAAGACCCUAUAAAACUUGAUAAUUAAUAACGGAGUCUUUAAAUAUGCUAAUAACGGAGGUUCGGUUAGAUUUAUUUUGUUGGGGCGACAGAGAUAUAAGUCAGUAACUGUUUUAAAAUUUAAAUAAAAAUAAUUAGAUGUUGAACCUGAGUUUUAGGUUAAAAGAGUAAGUUACUUUAGGGAUAACAGCGUUAUUUCUCUUGAGAGUCCUUAUCGAUAGAGACAGUUGCGACCUCGAUGUUGAAUUAAAGUUCUUCCCAGGAGUAGAAAUUUGGGAUAUAGGUCUGUUCGACCUUUAAAACUUUACAUGAUUUGAGUUCAAACCGGUGUGAG